GACGAACGCUGGCGGCGUGCCUAAUACAUGCAAGUCGAGCGGAUGAAGGAGGAGCUUGCUCCUCCUGAUUCAGCGGCGGACGGGUGAGUAACACGUGGGCAACCUGCCCUGUAGAUUGGGAUAACUCCGGGAAACCGGGGCUAAUACCGAAUAAUCCACCGGACCUCAUGGUCUGGUGUUGAAAGACGGCAUCUCGCUGUCACUACAGGAGUGGCCCGCGGCGCAUUAGCUAGUUGGUGAGGUAACGGCUCACCAAGGCCACGAUGCGUAGCCGACCUGAGAGGGUGAUCGGCCACACUGGGACUGAGACACGGCCCAGACUCCUACGGGAGGCAGCAGUAGGGAAUCUUCCACAAUGGACGAAAGUCUGAUGGAGCAACGCCGCGUGAGUGAAGAAGGUUCUCGGAUCGUAAAACUCUGUUGUGAGGGAAGAACAAGUACCGGAGUAACUGCCGGUACCUUGACGGUACCUCAUUAGAAAGCCACGGCUAACUACGUGCCAGCAGCCGCCGUAA
rnacentral:rRNA from 1 species